GCUUGCUGUGGCAGCACAUACUAAAAUCGGAACAAUACAGAGAAGAUUAGCAUGACCCCUGUACAAGGAUGACUCGCAAUUUGUGAAGUGUUCCAUAUUUUG
ensembl:snRNA U6 U6 spliceosomal RNA